rnacentral:rRNA from 1 species
AAACUUUCAACAACGGAUCUCUUGGUUCUGGCAUCGAUGAAGAACGCAGCAAAAUGCGAUAAGUAAUGUGAAUUGCAGAAUUCAAUGAAUCAUCGAAUCUUUGAACGCACAUUGCGCCCGCCAGUAUUCUGGCGGGCAUGCCUGUCCGAGCGUCAUU